ACGUAGGGAGCAAGCGUUGUCCGGAAUUACUGGGCGUAAAGGGUGCGUAGGCUGUUUGGAAAGUCAGAUGUGAAAUCCCCGGGCUUAACUCGGGUGGUGCAUUUGAAACUUCCAGACUUGAGUGCAGGAGAGGAAAGCGGAAUUCCUAGUGUAGCGGUGAAAUGCGUAGAUAUUAGGAGGAACACCAGUGGCGAAGGCGGCUUUCUGGACUGUAACUGACGCUGAGGCACGAAAGCGUGGGGAGCAAACAG
rnacentral:rRNA from 1 species